rnacentral:rRNA from 1 species
AGUGAACGCUGGCGGUAGGCCUAACACAUGCAAGUCGAACGGCAGCACAGUAAGAGCUUGCUCUUACGGGUGGCGAGUGGCGGACGGGUGAGGAAUACAUCGGAAUCUACUUUUUCGUGGGGGAUAACGUAGGGAAACUUACGCUAGUACCGCAUACGACCUACGGGUGAAAGCAGGGGAUCUUCGGACCUUGCGCGAUUGAAUGAGCCGAUGUCGGAUUAGCUAGUUGGCGGGGUAAAGGCCCACCAAGGCGACGAUCCGUAGCUGGUCUGAGAGACUGGUCAGCCACACUGGAACUGAGACACGGUCCAGACUCCUACGGGAGGCAGCAGUGGGGAAUAUGGGACAAUGGGCGCAAGCCUGAUCCAGCCAUACCGCGUGGGUGAAGAAGGCCUUCGGGUUGUAAAGCCCUUUUGUUGGGAAAGAAAAGCAGCAGGUUAAUACCCCGCUGUUCUGACGGUACCCAAAGAAUAAGCACCGGCUAACUUCGUG